rnacentral:tRNA from 1 species
GUUUCUGUAGUGUAGUGGUUAUCACGUUCGCCUCACACGCGAAAGGUCCCCAGUUCGAAACCGGGUGGAAACA